ACAUUUUAUGUAUACAUUUAUUUAAUCAUCAUUAGUAAACUCGAUGUGGAAAUAGUUGAUUGCUUAGAAAAUGUUAUUUUGUUAAAUUAAGAGAAUUAUGAUAUUUUUAUAAAUUAAACUUUCAUAGUUAUUAUGGGCUUCGGACUAGGUGUACUUCAGAUUGGGGUUAGAAAAUUAAGAAAUAUUUUGAGUAUUAUGUUAUUAAGUAAAAGUAAUGAAUAUAGUGUUAUAUUAUUGAGUGGUAAUUAUUCUUAUAUAUGUAUUUUUUUUCUUCCUUAAGCCAUGCAUGGAAUAUAGGAGAUCUUGUAACUAAGUGGACGUGUGUAAUGUGGUUUCAAAUUUAAAAUCAAUCUUAGAUUAGGUGGAGGUAGAGGCUCUCAAAGAUAUCUUAUCUACCUUGGAAUAAGGCUUGAACAUGUGUAGAGUUAGUUAGAGUCAGUUGAAUUAAUAGAAUAGAUAAAAGAUAAAUGUGUAGAUUUUAGUGGAGUUACCUUAAUAGUAAGACUAUAUUAAACUGCCACAUAGUUUGUGGUAACUGCAAAUUAUUCUCUUUGACCGAGUAGUGUGGUGAAAAUAAGAGCUUGAUUAUUUAUUUAAAUAUUUUUAAAUAUUAAUUAGAGUUAGUAGAGUUAUGGCAUUGGUUAACUCUAAAGUCUAUAAAUAGAGAGUGUAUGUUCAUUUUUUUUUAUCUGAGCCACACUCACCAAUUACUCUCUCUUUCUCUCUCGUAACCAUCUUCUUUCAUUCCAAUUUAUCUCUUUGUUUUCAUCAAGAGCCAAGCACCAAUAUCACCAUCAAACUCUCAUAGUUUUCUUUUUACUUCAUUCACAGCCAAUGCUUCAAACUUCCAUUCAUACCACCUCACACAACCAUACAUUACCAUACGCCACUUUUAUUUUCAAAAUCACCAUCAUCUUCUUAUAAUUAUCAUAUAGCCACAACACCAUAAUUUUUGUUAUUUAGCCAAAACACAUGAACUUCACCAUUGCUACCAAUUGUUCACCAAGUUAUAGAGUUCUAAACUUAGGGCUGCAAUUAGUUGGUGUUUUCAUUUCCAAAAAUUAAGGUUUACGUGGUAUGUAUACAAGGCUUUGGUUCUACAUAUAAUUUUCGUAAUCAAGCUAGGAUCUCCACAUUCGAGAUUAAGGUUCUAAAACUUAGAGAGCCGGUGGCAAGUGAGACCUUGGAGGCUUGUGUGUGUACUCGCUGAGGACCAUAUAACUGAGGGUGGUCUAGGGCACGCUCCAUUUAUUUUAUUUAGAGUUAUUAGACUAAUGUCGCAGUUAUUUUGAUUUAUUAAUUAUUAUGUCUUUUAAGUCCAAACUGAGCUCAAAUAUGAAAUAUUUUAUGUUUAUAAAUAAAAGCGACAUUAUAGAUUUUCCGCAUUUUAACGCUUGUAACUAAAUUAGUAAUUUAUGAAAAGUACGGGCGUUACAGUUUGGUAUCAGAGCCACAGUUAUAUUGGUCCCGAACGUUCUCACGAGUUACACAUAUCGGCUGAAAAGGUUCCACUCGCUACCAAAUUAAGGUUCUAAAACUUAGAGAGCCGGUGGCAAGUGAGACCUUGGAGGCUUGUGUGUGUACUCGCUGAGGACCAUAUAACUGAGGGUGGUCUAGGGCACGCUCCAUUUAUUUUAUUUAGAGUUAUUAGACUAAUGUCGCAGUUAUUUUGAUUUAUUAAUUAUUAUGUCUUUUAAGUCCAAACUGAGCUCAAAUAUGAAAUAUUUUAUGUUUAUAAAUAAAAGCGACAUUAUAGAUUUUCCGCAUUUUAACGCUUGUAACUAAAUUAGUAAUUUAUGAAAAGUACGGGCGUUACAGUUAUUGUGACAGUCAGUAGUCCCGUGAUCCGUUAGGGGAAACACCGGGUAAGCUGUGCAAUCCCACACCGCCUGGGGAAGGUCAAGUGGGAUGAUUCUGAGACUGUGUAGGUAUGGGACUACACAGUUGAAGAGGGCUUAAAUGGAUUGAUUGGUACUACCUAUAUCAACAAGGUGCAUCUUGUUUUUCGGUAGCCCAUCACGAAAGAACUCCACAGUUAAGCGUGCUUGGCUUGGGAGCAAUUUCAAGGAUGGGUGACCUCCUGGGAAGUUUUCCCAGGAUGCGUGCGAGUGAGGACAAAGCACGCUGGAAACACUUGUGUUGGUCUGUAGGGUCAGUCAUCAAUCCAGGAAGCAGCCAGAGUGGCGUACUCGUGUAUAAGAGCCAUUAUUCCGUGGGUGUAAGGACCCAAUGGAGGCUUGAAGCGGGGACGUUACAAAUGGUAUCAGAGCCUUGACCCAGCCGGAAGUGUGGUCGACGAGGACGUCGGACCCCGUAAGGGGGGGUGAUUGUGACAGUCAGUAGUCCCGUGAUCCGUAAGGGGAAAUACCGGGUAAGCUGUGCAAUCCCACACCGCCUGGGGAAGGUCAAGUGGGAUGAUUCUGAGACUGUGUAGGUAUGGGACUACACAGUUGAAGAGGGCUUAAAUGGAUUGAUUGGUACUACCUAUGUCAACAAGGUGCAUCUUGUUUUUCGGUAGCCCAUCUCGAAAGAACUCCACAGUUAAGCGUGCUUGGCUUGGGGUAAUUUAAGGAUGGGUGACCUCCUGGGAAGUUUUCCCAGGAAGCGUGCGAGUGAGGACAAAGCAUG